rnacentral:rRNA from 1 species
CGUGUAGGCGGUUGGUCAAGUCGGGUGUGAAAGCCCGGGGCUCAGCCUCGGAAGUGCAUCCGAAACUAGCCAGCUAGAGCGCGAUAGGAGGAGGGUGGAAUUCCUGGUGUAGCGGUGAAAUGCGUAGAUAUCAGGAGGAACACCGGCGGCGAAGGCGGCCCUCUGGGUCGUUGCUGACGCUGAGACGCGAAAGCGUGGGGAGCAAACAGGAUUAGAUACCCUGGUAGUCCACGCUAUAAACGAUGGGUACUAGGUGUUCGGGGUGUUGACCCCCCUGAGUGCCGCAGCUAACGCAUUAAGUACCCCGCCUGGGGACUACGGCCGCAAGGUUAAA